rnacentral:rRNA from 1 species
GAUCAUGGCUCAGGACGAACGCUGGCGGCGUGCUUAACACAUGCAAGUCGAACGGGGAUAUCCGAGCGGAGAGGCUUCGGCCUCAAAGGUUGGGUAUUCGAGUGGCGGACGGGUGAGUAACGCGUGAACAAUCUGUCCCGGACAGGGGAAUAACACUUGGAAACAGGUGCUAAUACCGCAUAAGACCACGGUGUCGCAUGGCACAGGGGUAAAAGGAGCGAUCCGGUUCGGGGUGAGUUCGCGUCCGAUUAGCCAGUUGGCGGGGUAACGGCCCACCAAAGCGACGAUCGGUAGCCGACCUGAGAGGGUGAUCGGCCACAUUGGAACUGAGAGACGGUCCAAACUCCUACGGGAGGCAGCAGUGGGAAUAUUGGGCAAUGGGCGCAAAGCCUGACCCAGCAACGCCGCGUGAGCGAAGAAGGCCUUCGGGUUGUAAAGCUCUGUUAUAGGGGACGAAGGAAGUGACGGUACCCUAUAAGGAAGCCCCGGCUAACUACGUGCCAGCCGCCGC